UACGUAGGCAGCGAGCGUUGUUCGGAAUUACUGGGCGUAAAGAGUGUGUAGGCGGUGCUCCCAGUCUGUUGUGAAAUCUCCCGGCUUAACUGGGAGGGUGCAGCGGAAACUAGAGUGCUAGAGGGUGGGAGAGGUAAGCGGAAUUCCUGGUGUAGGCGGUGAAAUGCGUAGAUAUCAGGAGGAACACCUGUGGUGUAGACAGCUUACUGGACCACUUCUGACGCUGAGACACGAAAGCGUGGGUAGCAAACAGG
rnacentral:rRNA from 1 species